GGCCCAAGACGACGCCAAGGGAGCGGACGGGCGGGGAGGAGGUGGCCUCUGCGCAGGCGCAGAGAGGAGCGAGCGACUCCUGCGCAAGCGCAGAGUGAAGGGCCGGGAACAGUGGAGGGUGCGAGGAAGACAAUGGGGGAGGACCCUGAGGCGGCCUCUGUGAGCCGACAGGAACACGUGGUCGAUCAGAGAGAGACUCGAGGUUCGUGAACGGAUGGGGAGGACCCUGAAAAGCACUGUGGAAUACAGGUUUCUAGUAACUUCAAAAUCACAUCAUUUGGACUGGGUAAGAAUUGCUGAAACUUUAAUGAAAAGACUGACUGGCUUAUAAAACUGCUAACCCAAAUAGAAUAAAAAUUAAUUGAAUACCGAGGAAAUGCUUCACCAGGUUUGCAUACUUAAUCAGCCUAUACUGAAAUUGUUUAGAUAUACAAUUUGAAUGAACUCCAUGGUCUAAGUCAAAUUACCUGUGAUAACCCAUCAGUUAUCCAUGCUAUGUGCCCAAUUUGGAGAAACAACUGGCACCCAAGAGGACAUAAGUCCGAUGUUAAGCAUGGACUCAUGGAGAACCAAGAUGGCUGCCUUGUCCUUCGUGAGUCCUUAAAGCUUUUGUUAUUAAAAGUUAUGCAUUCCAUGACUCAUCCUGGAAAAGAUAAAAUGAUCCAAAUUAAAUAUGUUGGUGUGGUGACUUACAGAUUGUUAAAAUAGUUUAUAAACAAUGUUUAGUUUGUCAAACCCAUACUCCUGGGAAGUCAAUCAAAGCUUCAUGUACAUUUGGCUACCUGAUGAGGCAUUUAAACAUUUAUAAAGGGGUUUCAUUCAGUUGUCAUUUUCAAUGUAUGUGUUCUGGUUGUACUAAAGCUUUCCCAUGCAGGAGGGCUAAUGUUAUAACAGUAGAUUACUAUGUAUCAGUGUAUUUUCACCAGGUAAAGAGCUUUUUAUGGUUCACUGAGGACAAUCAACCCCUUCACAAUCUAGAACCCAAAGAUGGGAUCUUCUGAGAACAUCAGAGAAACGCUGCCCUUGGCAUCAUCACUGCAACAAAACAUCAGGAUCUUGAACCUUGGGGUCAUAAUCUCACAACUGAGCAGGGUCACUCUUGGAACUCUACAUCCAUUGAAACCCUUAAGGUAAAGCUAAUCAGGGAAGUUUCUCCCCAGAAGAAGAUGGCAUCCUUGAUGUGAGCAGCUCUUUCUGAAGAUCAUGGAUCAAGACUUCUUACUAUCAUGAGACUCUUAUCUUUGAAUGUUUUUCCGUUGCUUCCGCCUCUGUGAACAACAGAAGUGAGAAGGGGGUCUGUUUUGUGCACUUAUGGGGUAUACUUUUAUUUGUGAAGGGCUUUGCAGCCAGCUUUAUACAUGGAUAAUCUUAUAACUUGAUAGAUAAAGAUGAAGGCCCAGUGUAUCAUAGGUGAGAAACUUCAAUGGUACAUAUGGUGCCUCAUAAUCAUUCAGAAGCAGAACAUUGGUUCACUCCUCUUAACCCACAGCAUGGGUUAAAGAGACCAUUGCCAAGAGGCCUUCCCUCUUCUAGAAGGGCAUCAUUUGUUAGGUCCUUUUUCCAUGGUUUGGAAUUAAAAAGGCAAUGACUAGAAACAUAUCCCUCAUGGUAGACUCUGUAGCAGAUUCUACUGUAAAGGCUACACAACAGAUGUUAAAUUCUCUUGUGAAAGUUAUGCUAAAAAAUAGAAUUGGCUAAACAGGAAAGUACCUGUGCAGAUGCUGGCACUUAAGGCCUAUGGAGAAAACAUCAGGUGUUAUAGAGAGUCUGUUGUAGGGAAUUAACGAAAAGACCACUGAGUUAAGUCAAAGAAUGGUCUAUUUGAGUUUAGGUGGUCUGGUUUAUGGGGACCCUGGCUAAGGAGCAUACUCCAAAUUCUUGGUGUUAACCCUCUCAGUAGUCAUAAGAAUAGUCUCCCUGGUGCACUGUAUUCUCUCAAAGGUUUUAAAUGUUUGCAUGAAGCCAUCUUUAGAACGUCAGAUGGUCUCUCUUCAACUGGAAUGACAAGAGCUGAAAGAAAUGUGUGACCACGAGGACACCGAAACCGAUGAGUGACAUGCUGAGACUGGAAAUCCAAAAUGAUAGUAACGGAGAGUGGCGCUAACAUCCUAAGUUUUGGUCACACUCUUGCCUAAGUGACAACCUGACAAAGGGGGAAUUUUUUAAACAAAAUGAUGGGAGGCCAUUGUUUUGGACUGAGCACUAGGUCCCAACAGACCAAACCGAACCAAAAUGGCAUCAUUCGUGCUAAAUGUGACAUAAUCGAAUUAAGACUUUAAGGAAACACAUGGGUCCUAGAAUAGACCAGGUUUUGUUUUUCUCUUGCAAACAGGACUUUCCAGCAUAAGGUGGUAUCCUCAACUCAGUCCUUGUUCCUACCUUUGCAAAACUCACUGUUCUGCUUCCUAGUGGGUUUCAAGACCAAUGGUGACAGUGACAUCAAUAACUCAAGUUUCGAUCAAUCUCUCAAAACUGAUAAAAUGACCAAAAAGGGGGAAUUGUUAAAGCGAACUAAAUAUGGCCUGAGAAGGACUCCGUACUUCUGUAUUGGAGUCCCUGUGAACAAACUGAGCCUAACUUAAUAGGUAGACAAGAUUGAAAACCUAAAUUAGGAGUAUGUACCUGUCACAAUUGCUGAGUCUCGGCCAGUCCCAGCAGCCGUACUUCAAUCACUCAUACACUGCUGAAUGUUCAAACUGUGUGUAAAUAAGGCAAAUGCCAACCUGUAACUAAUCCAGGUGUUUCUCUACCUCACUUCCCUUUUUUUGUCUAUAAAUCUUCCACCACGUGGCUGCACUGGAGUCUCUCUGAAUCUGCUGUAAUUCUGGGGGCUGCCCGAUGUGCAAAUCAUUCAUUGCUCAAUUAAACUCCUUUAAAUUUAAUUCAGCUGAAGUUUUCUUUUAACAAGAGUGAGAUAAGAAUCUGUGUUCUUAUCCCCCAGAAUGGACAAAUCAGUAGCGUUCCUUGUCAUUCUUUUGUGGCUGGUUUCACGUAAAUAUUUUGUGUGUAUGAUAAUAGAAUUUGAUUUUAA
ensembl:lncRNA LINC03015 long intergenic non-protein coding RNA 3015